rnacentral:tRNA from 1 species
AUUCCUUUAGUAUCAACAAGUACUGCUGACUUCCAAUCAGCCAGUCCCAGUAAAACCCUGGGAAGGAAUA